UACGAAGGGGGCGAGCGUUGUUCGGAUUUACUGGGCGUAAAGGGCGCGUAGGCGGCGGGUCAAGUCGAGUGUGAAAGCCCCGGGCUCAACCUGGGAAUUGCGCUCGAGACUGGUCUGCUUGAGUUCGGGAGAGGAGAGUGGAAUUCCCAGUGUAGAGGUGAAAUUCGUAGAUAUCGGGAGGAACACCGGUGGCGAAGGCGGCGACCUGGGUCGAGACUGACGCUGAGGCGCGAAAGCGUGGGGAGCAAACAGG
rnacentral:rRNA from 1 species